CAGUGUCCCCAAGUCUCUCAGUGUCCCCAUGUCUCACAGUGUUCUCUAGUGACAUGGGGACACUGGGAGACAUGGGGACACA